UCCAUUCCCAGGACCUAUUAGAGCGAUUGCCCAGACGCCGGUGACUCAGUGUUCGCGGGAGCGCCGCAGCCACACCAGCCAACCCGGAUCCUAGGUCUGACAGCGCCGGCCCGGGUCCCCGCCUGCCAGGAGUAAGCCGACAGGCGGCCGGCCCCGCGUGUCCGACCCAGAGCCACCUCUGUCCUUCGACCCGAGCUCCGCGCCCUUCCUGCGAUCCCUGCCCCGCGGGCAGCGCUGCCAUCCUGCCGGCCAUGGAGACUCCGUCCCAGCGGCGCGCCACCCGCAGCGGGGCGCAGACCAGCUCCACCCCGCUGUCGCCGACCCGCAUCACCCGGCUGCAGGAGAAGGAGGACCUGCAGGAGCUCAACGACCGCUUGGCGGUCUACAUCGACCGUGUGCGCUCUCUGGAGACGGAGAACGCGGGUCUGCGCCUUCGCAUCACCGAGUCCGAGGAGGUGGUCAGCCGCGAGGUGUCCGGCAUCAAGGCCGCCUACGAGGCCGAGCUCAGCGAUGCCCGCAAGACCCUCGACUCGGUGGCCAAGGAGCGCGCCCGCCUGCAGCUGGAGCUGAGCAAAGUGCGCGAGGAGUUUAAGGAGCUCAAAGCGCGCAAUACCAAGAAGGAGGGUGACCUGAUGGCCGCCCAGGCCCGGCUCAAGGACCUGGAGGCUCUGCUCAACUCUAAGGAGGCCGCACUGAGCACGGCCCUCAGCGAGAAGCGCACGCUGGAGGGCGAGCUGCAUGACCUGCGGGGCCAAGUGGCCAAGCUCGAGGCAGCCCUGGGGGAGGCCAAGAAGCAGCUUCAGGACGAAAUGCUGCGGCGGGUCGAUGCCGAGAACAGGCUGCAGACCCUGAAGGAGGAGCUAGACUUCCAGAAGAACAUCUACAGCGAGGAGCUGCGUGAGACCAAGCGCCGCCACGAGACCCGGCUGGUGGAGAUUGACAACGGCAAGCAGCGGGAGUUUGAGAGCCGGCUGGCCGACGCCCUGCAGGAGCUGCGGGCCCAGCACGAGGACCAGGUGGAUCAGUACAAGAAGGAGCUGGAGAAGACCUACUCUGCCAAGCUGGACAACGCCAGGCAGUCGGCCGAGAGGAACAGCAACCUGGUGGGGGCCGCCCACGAGGAGCUGCAGCAGUCCCGCAUCCGCAUAGACAGCCUGUCCGCCCAGCUCAGCCAGCUGCAGAAGCAGCUGGCAGCCAAGGAGGCGAAGCUGCGGGACCUGGAGGACUCGCUGGCCCGCGAGCGUGACACCAGCCGGCGGCUGCUGGCGGAGAAGGAGCGGGAGAUGGCGGAGAUGCGGGCGCGGAUGCAGCAGCAGCUGGACGAGUACCAGGAGCUGCUGGACAUCAAGCUGGCGCUGGACAUGGAGAUCCACGCCUACCGCAAGCUGCUGGAGGGCGAGGAGGAGAGGCUCCGCCUGUCCCCCAGCCCCACCUCGCAGCGCAGCCGAGGCCGUGCCUCCUCCCACUCGUCCCAGACGCAGAGUGGGGGCAGCGCCACCAAGAAGCGGAAGCUGGAGGCCGCCGAGAGCCGUAGCAGCUUCUCCCAGCACGCGCGCACCAGCGGGCGCGUGGCGGUGGAGGAGGUGGACGAGGACGGCAAGUUCGUGCGGCUGCGCAACAAAUCCAGCGAGGACCAGACCAUGGGCAACUGGCAGAUCAAGCGCCAGAACGGAGAUGACCCCUUGCUGACCUACCGCUUCCCACCGAAGUUCACCCUGAAGGCCGGGCAGGUGGUGACGAUCUGGGCUGCAGGAGCUGGGGCCACCCACAGCCCCCCGACCGACCUGGUGUGGAAGGCACAGAACACCUGGGGCUGUGGCAACAGCCUGCGCACGGCCCUCAUCAACUCCACCGGGGAGGAGGUGGCCAUGCGCAAGCUGGUGCGCUCGGUGACUGUGGUCGAGGAUGACGAAGACGAGGAUGGAGAUGACAUGAUCCAUCACCACCACGGCUCCCACUCGACCCCGCCGAGUACAACCUGCGCUCCCGCACCGUGCUGUGCGGGACCUGCGGGCAGCCUGCCGAAAAGGCGUCCGCAAGCGGCGCGGGAGCCCAGGUGGGCGGAUCCGUCUCCUCUGCCUCCUCCGCGUCCAGCGUCACGGUCACUCGCAGCUACCGCAGUGUGGGGGGCAGUGGGGGUGGCAGCUUCGGGGACAACCUGGUCACCCGCUCCUACCUCCUGGGCAACUCCAGACCCCGAACCCAGAGCCCCCAGAACUGCAGCAUCAUGUAGUCCGGGACCUGCCGGGCCGGGGUGGGCCGGAGGCCUCCUGCUUCCUCCGCGGUCAUGCCCACCGCCUCCCUGCACCUCGCGGGAGGGGCUUCAAGCCAAAGAAAAUACCCCUUUGUUUUUUCUUCUAUGUUUUGUUUUUUUUUCUAAGAGAAGUUAUUUUCUACAGUGGUUUUAUACUGAAGGAAAAACACAAGCAAAAAAAAAAAAAAUAGCAUCUAUCUCCAUUCGCUUUUCACUGUUCCUGCUUCCAAGAAGCUCCGCAUCUGCCUUAAACCGAAGUCGGCUCCCUCCAGGAGCCACGGGGCAGGGGGGCCUUUGUGGAGCCGAGUCUCUGCUUUUCUGCCCUGCCCGCUGCCCCCACCCCAAACCCCACAAACAUGGUGCCUGAGGCAGGUGUGCAGCCUUCCCGGCCAGCCUCCAAGGGAGCAGGGGCGAGCUGGGCCCCUGGGCUGGCCGCCGUCAGCCCGGCAUGCCUGGCCGCCUGGUCGAGGCUCCUCUGCCUGCCCACCCCCAGCCCCACCCCUGCCCCUAGCCCCGGGGUGACUUGAUUUCCCCCGGGUACCAGCUGUGCUUGCUUUUCCUAUACUUCACGUAGACAAGAGAUGGGAAGGAGAUGGGGGCUGACAGAAGGGGGGAGAAACGUUAGUCUGAGCCAGCUUUCACCCGGCUUCAGAGCCGGGCUGGGGCUGCCCAGUCACCGAAGGUGAGGUCAAGUGCAUGCAGGGGAGGAGCGAGAGGGAGGCUCACUAAAAGGGUGAGAGCCUGCAAGGCCCACUCCAUGGGAGGAUGGCGAGAGGGGGUGGAGGGUGUGUGGCAGUGGUUUCUGGCAAACACUAAGGAUCCCCUUGCUACCCACUUCCCAUCUGCACCCCUCUCUCCUCCCCAGAUCAAUACACUAGUUGUUUUUA